GAUGAACGCUGGCGGCGUGCUUAACACAUGCAAGUCGAACGGGAAACCUUUUAUUGAAGCUUCGGCAGAUUUAGCUGGUUUCUAGUGGCGGACGGGUGAGUAACGCGUGGGUAACCUGCCCUAUACAGGGGGAUAACAACCAGAAAUGGUUGCUAAUACCGCAUAAGCGCACAGGGCCGCAUGGUCCGGUGUGAAAAACUCCGGUGGUAUAGGAUGGACCCGCGUUGGAUUAGCCAGUUGGCAGGGUAACGGCCUACCAAAGCGACGAUCCAUAGCCGGCCUGAGAGGGUGAACGGCCACAUUGGGACUGAGACACGGCCCAGACUCCUACGGGAGGCAGCAGUGGGGAAUAUUGCACAAUGGGGGAAACCCUGAUGCAGCGACGCCGCGUGAAGGAAGAAGUAUCUAGGUAUGUAAACUUCUAUCAGCAGGGAAGAUAGUGACGGUACCUGACUAAGAAGCCCCGGCUAACUACGUG
rnacentral:rRNA from 1 species